rnacentral:lncRNA from 1 species
AAAGAGGUAGGGGCUCAAUGGAUGUGUCCCAAUAUCUAAAAUGGCUUGAUUGUGAGAAGGCAGGGAGUGUAAUCUAUGCAUGCCUUGGAAGCCUAUGCAAUUUGACAGCACCCCAGUUGAUAGAGCUUGGUUUGGCCUUGGAAGCAUCACAAAGACCCUUCAUUUGGGUUAUCAGGGAAGGACGUUAUUCAGAAGCAUUGGAAAAGUGGAUCGAGGAAAAUGGAUUUGAGGAAAGGACAAGUUCUAGAAGCCUUCUCAUUCGGGGCUGGGCUCCUCAAUUGUUAAUAUUAUCACACCCUGCAAUUGGAGGGUUCAUAACACACUGUGGUUGGAACUCUACCUUAGAGGCAAUAUGUGCUGGUGUUCCAAUGAUUACAUGGCCAAUGUUUGGUGAUCAGUUCUUGAAUGAAAGUGUAGUGGUGCACGUUUUGAAAGUUGGAGUAAAGGUUGGGGUGCAAACUCCGAUGAGAUGGGGCAAGGAAGAGGAAAUUGGUGUGGAAGUGAAAAAGGUAGACGUUGAAAGGGCAAUAAUAGAGAUAAUGGAUGUGACAAGUGAAGGUGAAGAAAGAAGAAAAAGAAUAAGAGAAUUGAGCGAGAUGGCUGAAAGAGCCGUGGAGAAAGGGGGAUCCUCUCACUCUAACGUGAACUUGCUUAUCCAGGAUAUCACGCAAAAAAUCCAGAGAGACGUGUGAUAUUCUCAUAUACCUUACACCAAUUUGAUGUAAAAGGUCACAGCUUUUAGUUUUUUACUCAAUUCUCUUUCUUUUAAAUGUUGUUCAUCAUAUUUCUCAAAUUUACUAAUUAUCUAUUAGAUUUUUUUAAAAUAUAUGGUGAGUUAGAUUGUUUUUAUUUUAUUUAUAGAAAAUUUGAAAGUUUGAAAGUUUACACUAGUUAAACUGAUAACUAGUUACACAAUAAAAAUAAACAUCAUUUUCAUUUUUGAGGUUAUCGAGCAUGGCGUAUCGGUUUUAGAGUCAAACUAAAGCAUUACUUGUCAUUUUGCUUUUUGAAUUCAUGCUUAGUGCUUGUUAUUAACUAGGUUUCUUUAAAACAAAUCACCACAAGAUUGUUUUUAAUUCGCAGUAAUUUUCUGGCAGUUUUAAAAUCAUCAGACAUUGUUAUUCUGUCAUUUGUUAUUUUCUAUUAAGACAAUAAUACAAUUAUACGUAAUUAUAUGUAAUUAUAAACUAUUAAUUUGAUAAUAAUAGAAUCUCAUAAUUAACUUUAAUUUGUAAAAAGAGUUUUCAUGCACUUAUAAUAUUUUUUAUACAUAAAAUUAUUUUUAUGUAAAUAAAAAAAAUAAAACAUUAGCAUUUUUUUUCCAUCUUCUUAUAUAUUUUCUUAUAUUUUAUGACUUCGAUUGUAACAAUAGUCAUCAUUAUUUGUUGGUAUUUUUAUAUCAUCUCAAAACGCAUGUAAUAAUGUCUUUUGUUGUGUCAACUCACCAGAAACAUAUUUUCUCGUGGUUAGAAAAAACUUCUAGAAAAUGAUCACCACUAGUUUAGUCACUUGAGUCAUUUGUUCCAAAUAAUUUUUGGUGAAUAAUUGAUGAAUAAGAAAAUCACCACUUUCGUCGAUCAAUAUAAUUAUAUGUAAUGAUUAUGUAUUGACAUUUGAUGACACUUAGUCAAGCGCAUAAUCUUUCUACCGAAAUAAUAAUACUAAAAUAUAGAGUAUAGAGGAGAGGGAUCGGGUUUUUUUCAACUAACUUUAUUUUAUUCUUUACUUUCUAUUUUUUUUUCUUUUAAUUCAAUGUUUUUAUAGUGAAAAGUUCAUCCUUAAUAGUUCAAUUAAUAAAAACUAGGAACGAAGAAUAAGUUAUUUUUAAAGUAAUUUUGUUUAUUCCUCGUAUAUGAAUAAUAAUUUUCAUGUUUAAAAAUAUUAAAUUUUUUAAACGGAAGGAAUAAAGGAACAUGAUAUAUUCAUUAGAGUAAAGAAAUAGUAAUAUUUUUUUUAAAAUAAUCACUAUAUUUGUAAAUUAUAUUAUUAAUAAUUAAAAAACUAUUGAUCCAAAAGUUCUACUUUUUCACCACUUGUAGAAUUAUUCAUUGUGUGUUAUUGUUCUAGUUCUUGUUGUCAUCAACAAAUGGUACUUUAAACAAUUAGAUUUUAACAUUUUUUUACAUGGAAAUCUCAACGAAGUGGUUUAUAUGUAGCUAUUUCCAUGGCAUAAAAAGGAUCACAAUAAGGUUUGGAAAUCGAAUAAAUCUCUACAUGUUCUUAAACUAGCUAGUAGGCAAUGAUACUUCAUGUUGUCGUGUUUAUAAACGUUUUAAGUCUAUUUGUUCUAAUUCUGUUUUUACGAAACUGUGGAUUUUGAAUAGUGGAGUAACCCAUCACAUGAUAUCUGAUUCACAAUUUUUCACACACAUUUCAUCAUUAUUUAUUCUAUUUAUUUUAAAUGUUAAUCUGCCCACGAACUCAACUGCGAUCAUCUCAUCUACGGGCACUUUUUGCAUGGUUACGUUUUGUUGAACUUGGCUACGGAGAGAAUAAUUGGCUCGGGUAAACCAUAUGCAAGCUGACCCUGAUUUAUGGCACAAGCGCCUCGAACAUCCUUUCUCUGACGCGUCUACAACUUGUAUCUUCAUUACUGCGUAUAAGUAUAAAUCUCAUUUUCAUUCAUAAUAAUUGUAGUAUUUGUCCAAAGCUAAACAGAUAAGACUACCAUUUCCUUUAAGCAAAAUAAAAUCUCAUAUUGUCCAUUUAAUCUAUUGCAUUGUGACAUUUAGGGUCAUCAUAAAAUCCCAACUCAUUUUGGAAAAUAGGUUUUUUUUUCUCACUCACUAUAGUCUAUGACUAUUUCUUAUGAAUCACAAAUCUGAAACCAACAUCUCUUAACAUCAUUAAUUACAUUUGCACAAAACUAAUUUCACACAUCUAUUAAAACCAUUUGUGUUGACCACGGAUUCAAAUUUAUUUUAAUGCCUAAUUUUUUUCUCAAAAAAAACUAUUGAAUGUCAAUGCACUUGUGUUUACACUCUCAACAAAAUGGGAUAGUAGAACCAACCGUAGAUACAUUUUAAACACAGCACAAGGAUACCUAGAAAAUUCUUCCGUAGAUAAAUGGAUUUUUUUUUUAAUGUAAAGACAUCUUACUUUAAUAAAAUAAUGUAUAUAUAUAUAGUUAAAAUCAUUUUUCAAGAGAAAAGAGAACUUACCCAAUACUUAUAAUUAUUUUACAAUUUACCUAAUCGGAUAACAUUUUCAAGAAAUUACACCUUAAUGCUAAAUUUUCUAAAGGUUUCCUUCGUAAUGUAAUAGCUCAAAACUAUGAUUAUUUGUUACUAAAACAUUCAAAAAGUAUGAUUAUUUUUUACUAAACAAUCAAAGCUAUAUAAGGAUAAUUAUGAAACGUUGAACAAUGAUGCAGCGUAUGAAUCUGUGAAACAAAAAAGGCACGUGAACCACACCUUUACAGCACUGAUGCCUCGUAUCCACCACAACUUCAUUAAACCGGUAACUGAUAAUCCUAAUUUUUUAUAUAAUUAUAUUAUAAUUUUAAUAUAUUUUAAUAUUAUUUAAUUAUAAAUUUACUUUUUAUUAUAUAUUUUCACUUAAAAUAAUCCAACUAGAGUUACGUAUGCUCUUACAUCAUUUACCAGUAAAUAAUAAUUUUGUAGUAGCCUACAUCACUCUUAUAAUAAAGGAUCAUGGACACUGCAGAGUGAAAACCCCAAAACCAAACCAAGAGAGAGGAGAGAUCUGCACUGCUACCAAUUUUUCAUCUGCCUCUUUGGAGCCAUGGUUCUCCUAACAAACAGCCCUCACUUUGUAUUAUUCCCCAUGAUGGCUCAAGGUCACAUCAUCCCCAUGAUGGACAUUGCAAGAAUAUUGGCACAGCGUGGUGUGAUUAUCACCUUAUUCACAACCCCAAAAAAUGCAUCACGUUUCAGUUCUGUUAUAUCUCGAGCUGUUUCAACAGGCCUCAAAAUCCGUGUCCUACAACUUCCUUUUCCAUCAAAAGAAGCAGGGCUACCUGAAGGGUGUGAGAAUUUGGACAUGGUAACUUCAAAUGAUAUUUCCAAAAUUUUCCAUGUCAUCCACAUGCUCCAAAAGCCAGCAGAGGAGUUCUUUGAGACACUUACGCCCAAACCAAGUUGCAUAAUCUCUGACUUCUGCAUUCCUUGGACCGCUGAAUUAGCCGAAAACUAUCACAUUCCAAGGAUUUCUUUCCACGGAUUUUCAUGUUUUUGCCUCCAGUGCCGGUACGUGAUACAUACUUCAAAGUUUUGUAAAAGCAUCACUUCAGAAUCCAAAUACUUCACUAUUCCCGGCAUACCCGACCAAAUUCAAGUUACCAGAGAGCAGUUACCAGGAUCACUUGGCAAGGAUUUGGAUGACUUUAAAGAUCAGGUGCGUCAUGCUGAAAUGAAGUCUUAUGGGGUUAUCAUAAAUAGUUUUGAAGAGUUAGAGAAGGCAUAUGUGAGGGAUUACAAGAAGGUAAGAAAUAAUAAGGCGUGGUGCAUUGGUCCUGUUUCAUUGUGCAACAAAGAUGGUUUGGAUAAGUCUCAAAGAGGCAACCAGGCCUCAAUUAACGAGCACCAUUGCUUGACGUGGCUAAAUUUGCAGCAACCCAAGUCAGUGGUCUAUGUUUGUUUUGGAAGCAUAUGCAACUUGAUUACUUCAGAACUUGUGGAGUUGGCCUUGGCCUUGGAAGAUACAAAAAGGCCAUUUGUAUGGGUCAUUAGGGAGGGAAGUCAGUUCCAAGGACUAGAAAAGUGGAUCUCUGAAGAAGGGUUCGAGGAAAGGACCAAAGGGAGAGGCCUUAUAAUUCGAGGUUGGGCACCACAAGUGAUAAUAUUAUCACACCCUUCCAUUGGAGGAUUCUUAACACACUGCGGUUGGAAUUCAACACUUGAAGGGAUAAAUGGUGGAGUGCCACUGGUUACCUGGCCUCUAUUUGGUGAUCAGUUUUUGAAUGAGAAGCUUGUUACUGAUGUGUUGAAGAUUGGAGUGAGCGUUGGGGUAGAGGUUCCAGUGAAAUGGGGAGAGGAAGAGAAGAGGGGUGUGUUGGUGAAGAAGGAUGAUAUUAAGAGGGCAAUAUGCAUGGUGAUGGAUGAAGAUGGAGAAGAAGGCAAAGAGAGAAGAGAAAGGGUAAGGAAACUGAGUGAGAUGGGAAAGAGAGCCGUUGAAGAAGGAGGCUCUUCUCAUCUUGAUAUCACUUUGCUAAUCCAAGACAUUAUGCAACAAUCAACUACCCAAGAGGCUUAAUUUGUUUUUAUCUACAGUGAUAUAUUGCAUACCUACAUAUUAUUAACCCAAAUCUAUAAGAGGAUGCAAUUUUGACGCCUAAAAGAUUCUCGAUUCAUGUUGACGUAUUUCUUUAAUUUUUACGUUCAUAUUAACCCUAUUUUAUAUGGUGGUGAUGCUGUGUUUCGAUGUGUUGAUUUACUAUUGAAGUGGAUGGAAGAAUCUGCCCCACUCAUAGAAUAUAAAAGAACUGAUGGUGGGAUUGGGAAAUUUACCCUUUGUCCAGUUAAGGUCUUAAUCAUAAUUAAUUAUAGUUUAGUGAUUGAUGGAUUACAGUACUUGCCUUUCCAACUCCAAAUAAACUCAUUUCUCCCAUCACUUUUUUUUUGCAACCAACUUUACCUCUUCUACUUCUAUUUAUAAUUUUUUUAGUGUUGAUACCUUGAUAAUAAUGUACUAAAUUAUUGAAAAAAUAUAUUUUUUUGUUUGAAAUAAAGAAAUCUUAAAAUUAUAUUUACCGAAUCACUUAUGUUUUUCAAUUUGUAGUUUUGAAAGGAACAUUUUUCAUUUUUUUUAUUAACACUAACAUCCAUUAUCCAUUAUACCUAGGUAAUAUAAUACAUUCACUUUCAAAAUAAUAUACCUUAAAAAAAUGCAGUUUAAUUUUUUUUUUAUCUAUUUAAUGAAAUAUUAUAUUAAUGUUAACUUAUAAAUAUCUUAUCUCUUAUUUUAAAUAAAUAAAAAAUAUUAAUCUUAAUACAUUUAAAACAAAGAUAUUUUUAUAAAUCAAUAAAUUAUAUUAAAUUUAAUUUAUUUUUCAUUCACAUCAAUCAUAUUUAUUAUAAAUUUUUUACCUCAUUCAACUCAUUUUUCUUACAUCUAAAAACAACCUUGAUUUUCAUUUUUUAAUAAAUUCUUAAAAAAAAGAGAAAAAGUUUGAUUUGUGUUUGUGCAAUGACAAAUUGUACACGUUCUCUUGCGCUUAAUUAUUUGUCUUAUUGUGUGACUUCACUCAUCUAGAUCUGCACGUGAUACAUCAUUAUCACUUUAGCUUUAGUUACACUUUUGUCUUGUGAUUUCUUUACUUUUAUUUUGUCUAAUAUCGUUUUAGGGUUAAUAAAUAGUUUUGUUUUAUCUUGUCUUUUAAAUCAGUUCAAUUCGAUUUGUUUUCUUCUAUAUUAAUUUAAUUGAUUUAAAAUGAUAAGGUUAAUUAACAGUGAUAUGUUUAAAUUGUCAGUAAAAAACUAUUACUAAUCAAUAAAUUUUCAGUAACAUUGUCAUUAUUCAAGACUAUUACUAAUUCAACUUACACAAAAAAAUUAAAUAUCAUCUACUCAAAGCCAAGUACCUUGAAUAACUAAAGAAGCUUUGAUCACUACAUCAGAUUAGUUCUUUUGUCAUAUUAUGAAUUUUAUUUUACUUAUUAUUAUUAUUAUUAUUAAAAAUAUUCUGUAUGUAAUAUUUUAUAUACGAAUAUCAUCCGUAUAUAAUUAUUCUUGUUUCAUGACGCCAAAAUUAUAUACGGAUUAAAUUUGUAUGUAAUCACUUUUGGCUUACAUACGAAAAAAUCCAUAUGUAACGUCUAUUUACAUAUUGAAUUAAAUCUUUAUGUAAAUAUUUGUAUGUAGUCACUUUUGACUUAUAUACAGAAAAAUUCGUAUGUAAUCACUUUUGUUUUUAUAUAUGAAAAAAAUCGUAUGUAAUCAUUUAUGUUCUUACAUACGAAAAACAUCCGAAUGUAAUGUCUAUUUCAUAAUAAAUAAAAUUCGAAUGUAAAUAUUCAUAUGUAAUGCUCAUUUUACAUACGAAUUAAGAUCUAUAUGUAAUAAUUGGUAUGUAAGUAGACAAUUUCUUGUAGUGAAAAAUACUGAUUAAAAAAUUAUAAAUGAUUUUUUUUAUAAAUGUAUAUUCAUUGUAAUUUUUAACACUCUAAAGUUUUAUAUAUUUUUAAGGUUAACUUAAUUAAUAAAACCCGAAAUUGUUUGAGAAAGAAAUUAUUACUUCCGUAAAUUGAAAAUAAUAAUUACUUGAAUAAUGUAUUCUAUCUUGUAAUAUUUGAAUUAGAAUUGUAGUUUAUACGACAGCUUAAAAUCGUCACAGUAAUUAAUAAAUUCUAUAAUUAAAAAAAUUACAAAAUUAAAAAUUCAAUUACAAUAAAACAAAUACAAGAUUAAGAAUUUAAUUAGAUUAUGUACUCAGUACUUAUCUAUUAACAUACAUAGUAAAUGUUUUGAAAAGAUUUUCAUCAUUGAUUGUUGACAUAGGACAUACAUUUAAACUUUAACAAACAAACUUUGAUUGGAUAUUUGUUAAUGACCAGUGGUUCAUUGUAUAUCACAUUAUUUAUCUAUAUAUUCGUGAUUUAAAAAGGUGCCUAGGCAUUAUUCUUGUUCAAAUUCUGAUUGGUGACUCUCAUGGACAGCUAUGGUGUGAUGAAAAAGAGAAAUACAUAAAAGUAACAAACAAAAUCCUAGUUCAUGUAUUACUAGCCAAGAGAUCUGAAAUCACGACAAAAAAGGUCAAAAUUAUUGACUCAGUAGUGUGGCAUUAUUCAAUGUGCUUGCGUAAGCGCUUACAUGAACAUUCACUAAUACAUUACAAACUCACAACAUCAACCAAUCGAAAUCGAAUUAUUUGAUGUAAUAGAUUUAGAAAUAAAUAUAUAUAAUAAAUAAUAAAUUUAUAAUUAAAUAAUAUAAAUAAAUAUUAAAAUAAUAGUAUUGAAAAUUAUAAUGUAAUUAUAUAAAAGAUUGGAGUUGGAAAUAUAUCAUUAGGCGUGUUUGUAUUAUGUGACAGACCCACAUUUAAGAACACACCAUUUAAAGGCAGCGUAAUUCAUAGAUUGUGCAUUGCCAUUUUAGUGCAAAACUAUGUCUUCCCAAGAACAAAGGCCACACUUUGUCCUGAUUCCAUUGAUGGCCCAAGGCCACUUGAUCCCCAUGAUGGACUGGGCGAAAUUAUUGGUGCACCACGGUGUUACUGUGACUGUAGUCACCACGCCGCAUAACGCAGCUCGUUUCAGACCUAUCUUCGAUCGUUAUGUUGAGAAUGAGAAUGGACUUGCUAUUAAAUUAGUUCAAGUUCGAUUCCCAUGUGAAGAAGCAGGACUGCCCGAAGGAUGCGAGAAUAUCGAUAUGAUACCUUCACUUGGCACGGCCAGGACUUUCUUCGAAGCAACAAACCUUCUACAGCAACCCGUGGAAAAACUCUUUGGAGAGUUAUCACCAUCACCAAGCUGCAUAAUCUCCGAUAUGUGUUUGCCAUUUACAUACCAUAUCGCCAAAAAAUUCAAUAUCCCAAGGAUUUCUUUUCUUGGUGUAAGUUGCUUUUGUCUUCUGUGUCAUCAUAAUAUUCUCAUCCAUAAUGUCAGGGACAACGUAGCAUCGGACUCAGAGUACUUUGUUGUGCCUGAUUUCCCUGACAAGAUUGAGAUUACCAUAGCACAGAGUGGUGUGUCGAUGAAUGAAAAGUGGGAACAGUUUCGUGAAGAAAUUGCGGUUGCUGAAAAGAGUGCUUAUGGUAUAAUCAUGAAUUCUUUUGAAGAGUUGGAGCCAGCAUAUGCAAGGGAUUACAAGAAGGUAAAAAAUGAUAAAAUGUGGUGUAUAGGACCUGUAUCACUUAUUAACAAGGAUGACUUGGAUAAGGCUGAAAGAGGUAGGGGCUCAAUCGAUGUGUCCCAAUAUCUAAAAUGGCUUGAUUGUGAGAAGGCAGGGAGUGUAAUCUAUGCAUGCCUUGGAAGCCUAUGCAAUUUAACAGCACCCCAGUUGAUAGAGCUUGGUUUGGCCUUGGAAGCAUCACAAAGACCCUUCAUUUGGGUUAUCAGGGAAGGACGUUAUUCAGAAGCAUUGGAAAAGUGGAUCGAGGAAAAUGGAUUUGAGGAAAGGACAAGUUCUAGAAGCCUUCUCAUUCGGGGGUGGGCUCCUCAAUUGUUGAUAUUAUCACACCCUGCAAUUGGAGGCUUCAUAACACACUGUGGUUGGAACUCUACCUUAGAAGCAAUAUGUGCUGGUGUUCCAAUGAUUACAUGGCCAAUGUUUGGUGAUCAGUUCUUGAAUGAAAGUUUAGUGGUUCAAGUUCUAAACGUUGGAGUAAAGGUUGGGGUGGAAACUCCAAUGACAUGGGGCCAGGAAGAGGAAAUGGGUUUGGAAGUGAAAAAGGAAGACGUUGAAAGGGCAAUAAUAGAGAUAAUGGAUGUGACAAGUGAAGGUGAAGAAAGAAGAAAAAGGAUAAGAGAAUUGAGCGAGAUGGCUAAAAGAGCCGUGGAGAAAGGGGGAUCCUCUCACUCUAAUGUCAACUUGCUUAUCCAGGAUAUUAUGCAAAAAAACAAGGGAGAUGUGCUAUAGUUUCAUUUGCCAUAAACCAUUUUCACUAAAAAUUUAUGAAUUAUCUAUGUUUUCUCUUUUCUAAGAAAAUAUUGUGCAUUAUCUUCUCACAUAUUUAAGUUAUAUUGCUUUUAAUGUCUUAAUAUAUAUUAAAAAUACUUUAAAAUAUUACUUGUGCAUUGACGUGGUAAUGCGACACGUUCAUGAUUUAGCUACCUCGUAGUGUUGGCUUAUCAAAAGCGAGUUACACUUAGUGUUAAGUCAUGGGUCUCUCCCGAUGGAAUAUAACAAAUUGUUUAUCUUUUGACCUUCAAAUUCAUCAUAGCCUCAUUGGCCUACGUCUGAGAUUGAGGGGCAUGUUAGGUUAUGGGUUUGGUUUGAUAGUUGGUCAUUUAUGAUUGUUUCCCGACCUAUUAUCUAACAUUAUGAGGGACUACAAAUCAAUGAAUCUCAAUAAAUUAACUUUAAUAACUCAAUUAAGACAUAAUCAUGACUAAAGGUGAAGAGGUUAAUUACAAUUCGAUCUAUAUAUAUCAUAUUAGACUUUACAAAAAAACAUCAUCUAAUAAACAACAUAAGGAGUACUCUCUCUCAACUCCUAUUUUAAAUUAUAUUAUAUUUAUGUUUUUAUUGACUUAAACGUCCGAGUAUCACAUAGGAGGAGUCCCUUGUUCUAAAAGAUUGAAUCACUAGAGCUUGAAGGGAGACCACAAAAAACUCUUUCAGAUGCCGAUCGACCUCAAGUUGACUAGAAAACUUAGGAUGAAAUAACUUGUGUAAAACUUAUAUAUUAAUAGAUUUUACAUCUCCCUAUGAGUGUGACUUUGAGAUCAUGGACGCCUAAGUUAAAAAAAUCUAGACAAUAUUUUAUAAUUUUUUAAUCUUAAAUUUUAUUAUCUUUAUAAAAUUAAAAACUCAUUAUAAAUAUAAUAAUUAAAAAAAUACUUAAAAAAUAAUAAUUUACUAUUUUUAUAGAUAAAUAAGAAAGUAUAUUAUGAAAAUAUAUAUUAAAAUAAAGCAUGAAAUAAAAUAUAAACGUGUACUUGUAAAUAUAUAUAAUAUUAAAUAAAUAAUAAAAAAUAUUUAAUUAUAUUCAUUAUAUAAAUAAUAUUAUAUAACAAUAAAGUAUUAAAAGAUUAAUGUAAAUUGUGAAAUAGAAUAAAUUAAUCAAUAUUUAAAUAUCUAAUCCACUCUGCAGUUUAUACAUGGGUCCCUCAUUAUCAUCCCAACUUGUGGAGGAAAACAACAGAAGAGAACGAACCAAAUAUUCAAAUUCGUGUUACCGUCAUUUUAACUUUUUUUUUUUUUUUUCAUUUUGUUUUCUAAUGCAUGCCGACUCCAUAGACUUCACAAAUAAUUUGUUUUGUAAGGAUGAGAGAGCUUGCAUGUUUUUUCUUCCGUUAAGAAAAGUGUUUUCUUAUAUAUAAUUUUACUCAUUUUAAUAAAUAAUUGUACAUUAAUUAUUAUUUUCAACUUUUACAUCCCAAUUAGAUUGGUAUUCAAAGGUUUACAUGAAUUACAAGAAUCAUUUCACCUCAACCUUUGUUCUUCUAAGUUUUGCAAAUGUCGAGUAAUAAAUAUUUCGUAUAUAUGUAUAAUUUAAGAAGUAAGCAUAAGUACAAUUCAUCUUUCCCAAACUAGUUUGAAAGGUGAGAAUUAAAUAGUGUAAACUAAUUUUAUUUCUAGUCUAUGCCUAAUUUCUAAUCAAUAUAUAUGUUUUUUUUUUGUGUUUUCUGCAUUUGCAUUGUUUUAGACAAUUGUAAAAGUCAUUUUAGAAGACGAUCAUACUUCAGGAUGAAUGUAAUAUAAGAAUCUUAAUUAUACAGUGGAAAUUAAUUGAAAUAUUAUUAAUUCUGACUACAAUUACAUGAUCAAGAUUAAUAAGAUGAACUCGUGUAUCACGAGGGCAUGCAUCUAAAAGUUUUUAGAAUUUCUCCACACAUGAUUUAUGUGGUCCAACAUGUACCUCACAUUAUUCUUAUUGCAAUCAAAAAUGUUUUUUUACAUCCAUACUCUAUCCUAUAUCCCAAUAAAUAUUGACAUUUUAAUUAUUUAUAAUUUUUUUAAUUUUAAAAAUUAUUUUAACAUUUUAUAUUUUGCUUAUAUUUUUAUUAAGAUUUUUUUUAAAUUUUUUAUUGUAAAUAUAUUGUUAGUGUAAAAUGGAAUUAAGCGUCAAAAUAUCACCGAUUGCAAUUUCGAUACUCAUGCAGACUUGCAGUACACAAGGGACAUAAUUUUUUGUGCUCGAUCUACAAAGAAACUUGAUGAUACAUAAUAAAACUUUCCAAUUUCUUGUAUUUGGGUCUAACAGAUAAUGCUAAACCAAAAAGACAAAAGGCAAGGAAAUCUCCAAUGCACUGUCACCUAAUACAAAGUAAAUUGUAUAGCAAUGCAAUUAUAUUUUUUACUGUUUGUCAUUUAGAAAAUGUGAAAAAAAUUAAUUUGAUAUUAAUUUUUAAAAUAAUUUAAUUGAUUGAUUGAUUAAAAUUAAAAGUUAACUAGUUGAAAUAUAAAAUAUGGUUAAAAUAACAUAAUUAUAUAUGCAUGAAUUUUAAUCUCAAAGUAUCCUUAUAAUGACUUGAAUAAUAAUUUAUACUAUUAAUAAAGAAUAUAUAUGUAUUUCUUAUUAGUAAAUUUUUUAGAUAUUUUAUUAUUUUAAAAAUCACCCACCUCCUAAAUAAUAUGGAAGAAAAAAGUUAUAAGAGAAUGAGGGUGUGUCUUUGGAAGAUUUGGAGAUCUAAAAUAUUAUUUGUUUUUUAGCUCAUAUCACCAUGAUAAUUUUAUUUUUAAAAAGUGUCCUCCACCGUUAAAAGUGAAAGAUGUAUUUAAAUUGGUUUUACUUCCGACUUCUUAGCCAUUAGAGAUUUAACAUAAUGAAAUAAUACCCCAAUUUGUUAUUAUAACAAAAAAAAAUCAAACUCUAUGAUAUUUCUAAACUUAAGAGAAAUAGUAAUUCUUUUACUAAUAAUAAUAAGGAAAACUUUCUUUUAACACUGUUGAACAGUUAAAAACAUACCUUUAACAACAGUUUAUAAUAAUACAAUAAUAUUUCUAAUUAAAAAAUAAAUCAAAAGUAAAUAAAAUAUUAAUUUAUUCUGUUUACGGUGUUAAUAUAUCACCGCUCUAAUAAUAAACCUAUGAACUGGUAUUAUUAAGGAAAAGAUUUUGUUGCUAAAAAAAAUAAAAAAUACUUCACACUCUAAUAAUAAUAUUUUUAAUUAAAAAUAUAUUAAUUUUUUAUACGUGAAAUAAAUGUUUGGCACUGUGUGUAUGGUGUUAACGAUCCUAUUAUUAAUAGUUCAAAUCUUGGUUAAAACACAUGCAUGAACUGUAUCACUGGUCCAAAUGGACAUUAUUCUCUCUCCAAUGAAGCCUCUUAUGGCCGGCUUGGUUUCCUCCGACAAAGGGAUCCGACAUUAUGAUACAAACAUACUAUGUAUUACGUAGCAACAAAACUUUCCAACUGAAUGCAUUUGUUUCUGCAGAAGAUGCAAAUCCAAACAGACAAAACGCAACGCAAUUUGCAAUGCACUGUCUCAUAUUCCAAGGUAUUCACGUAGUUGCAUCGAGAGAGGCUGCAUGACGCGUCUAUAAAUAAAUAAACAGGUUGAAGUGAAUUCAUUGCAGAAUACCAUUCCACAACAAGAAUGGGUCCCCAAGAUCAGCAACUCCACUUCGUCUUGUUUCCAUUGAUGGCUCAAGGCCACAUGAUCCCCAUGGUGGACAUUGCAAAAGUAUUGGUGCGACGCAAUGUUAUUGUGACUGUAGUCACUACCCCAAACAAUGCAGCUCGUUUCACGUCAAUCUUUGAUCGUUAUGUUGAAUCUGGGUUUCAAAUCAGAUUAGUUCAACUUCAAUUCCCAUGUAAAGAAGCUGGAGUACCAGAUGGAUGUGAGAAUCUCGAUAUGAUACCUUCACUGGGCAUGGCCGCUGGCUUCUUCAAUGCAACAAACUUACUUCGACAACCAGCUGAAAAACUGUUUGAAGAGUUAACACCAGCACCAAGCUGCAUCAUCUCCGAUAUGUGCUUACCGUAUACAAACCACAUUGCUAAAAAGUUUAAAAUUCCCAGGAUUUCUUUUGUGGGAGUAAGUUGCUUCUAUCUCUUUUGCAUGUCUAAUAUACGUAUCCAUAAUGUUAUGGAGAGCGUAACUACUGAAUCGGAGUACUUUGUUGUGCCUGGUAUACCUGACAAAAUUGAAAUGAACGUAGCUAAGUCCGGACUAGCAAUUAAUGAAGGCAUGAAACAGGUUACUGAUACAUUGUUUGAAGCUGAAAUGGAAGCUUAUGGGAUGAUCAUGAAUUCUUUUGAAGAGCUGGAGCCAGCCUAUGCAGGGGGAUACAAGAAGAUGAGAAACAAUAAACUGUGGUGUUUGGGACCACUGUCAUAUAGCAACAAGGAUCACUUGGAUAAGGCUCAAAGAGGUAGAAUGGCCUCAAUUGAGGAGUGCCACCUGAGGUGCUGGCUUGAUUGUCAAAAGCUAGGAACUGUAAUCUAUGCAUGCUUUGGAAGCCUGUGUAAUUUAACAGCACCACAGUUGAUAGAGCUUGGUUUGGCCUUGGAAGCAUCACAAAGACCCUUCAUUUGGGUUAUCAGGGAAGGAAGUUAUUCAGAAGCAUUGGAAAAGUGGAUCGAGGAAAAUGGAUUUGAGGAAAGGACAAAUGGUAGAAGCCUUCUCAUUCGGGGCUGGGCUCCUCAAUUGUUAAUAUUAUCACACCCUGCAAUUGGAGGGUUCUUAACACACUGUGGUUGGAACUCUACCUUAGAAGCAAUAUGUGCUGGUGUUCCAAU